CCGAGUUUACAACUCCCAAACCCCUGUGAACAUACCUUAUGUUGCCUCGGCGGAUCAGCCCGCGCCCGUAAAACGGGACGGCCCGCCGCAGGAACCCUAAACUCUGUUUUUAGUGGAACUUCUGAGUAUAAAAACAAAUAAAUCA
rnacentral:misc_RNA from 1 species